rnacentral:rRNA from 1 species
GAGUUUGAUCGUGGCUCAGAGCGAACGCUGGCGGCAAGCUUAACACAUGCAAGUCGAACGCCCGCAAGGGAGGUGGCGGACGGGUGGCGUAACACGUGGGAAGUCUGCCUUUAGGUUAAGGAAUAACACAGAGAAAUUUAGUGCUAAUACCUUAUAAUGUCUUUGGUACCAAAGAUUUAUUCGCCUAAAGAAUGAGCCCGCCGGUGGGAUUAGCUAGUUGGUGGGGUAAGUGGCCUACCAAGGCAACGAUCCAUAGCUGGUCUUAGAGGAUGAUCAGCCACACUGGGACGUGAGACACGGCCC